AUUUUCUGUUGAUCAAUUUUCUUAAGUACUCCAAACACCAGAAAAUGUGAAAAAUAUUUUCCAAAAAAAUACUUUCUAUAAAACAAAUGAAACCUAAUAUUAUUUUUAAAUUGAGUACUAUUCCUAAUUAGAUUAGGUUAAGGGGCUGACACUAAUAGGAGUAUGAUGAAAGGUUAUUUAGCUUUGCUAACUGCUGAGGAGUGGCUUUUAUCCAUUGAGGAAAAUGAUACUUAUACCAUGGAGAAAGAGAGGCCUUGCCUCAAGGUUUGCAAUUUCAUAAAGGGGCAAAGGUUUUGGCCCAAAGUGAAGAAGAGCAUAGUCCAAAAUGAA
rnacentral:misc_RNA from 1 species